UGGUUCUGGCAUNGAUGAAGAACGCAGCGAAAUGCGAUAAGUAAUGCGAAUUGCAGAAUUCAGUGAAUCAUCGAAUCUUUGAACGCACAUUGCGCCCCCUGGCAUUCCGGGGGGCAUGCCUGUCCGAGCGUCAUUAGACCAACCCUCAAGCUGUUUGCACAGCUUGGUUUUGGACCGUGCCGGCAGCGGCAGGUCCUAAUCCUAGUGGCGACCCCGUCCGAUCGCGAGCGCAGUAGCAAACCUCUCGCUCCGGGAUCGCGCGGUGGUCGAGCCAAAAAGCCCACUUUCGCUCGGUGGACCUCGGAUCAGGUAGGAAUACCCGCUGA
rnacentral:misc_RNA from 1 species